CAGGGUUGAAAUAUUCAUUUCAAGGAUUCUGUUCAUGUGUUCUGUUUUAAAUGUUAUUAUUUCCAUAUAACGCAUUGUGUUUACCUGGGUUACUUAUUAAGCUGUGCUCCUGUGGCCAGUCUUAGAGUUAAAGUCAGUCAAGCAUGUGAGUUACACAUGUCCAGUUUAUAUAAUUGUUCAGUCAGGCUUGACCAGUUAUUUUCCCGCCCUUUCCUUUGUCUUCUGGUCACUUCUAACUUGAACACAGAGCUGUACACAUCUACUUUUAAGAUGUACAUUUAUAGUACAGAGUUGCCAUUACUUCAAUAUAAGGUUAGUUCUAUUUCUACCUGUUUGCAUUUACUCUUUCUUGUAUUUGCAUUGAGUUGUAUUUAUGUUGUGAGUUGAUAUAACUCAUAUUUGAUAAGUAAUUAGGUUAAAUUCAGAAAAGCAGCAUUGCCAUCCUAAACGUGCUAACGAUUCCUAUAAUUCACAGUUUCCCAUACUCUUCACAUGUAUAAUCUUAUUUGCAGCAGUAGCACAGCACCCGCAGAGAAUUGUAUAAGAUUGAGAGAGAGUUCCGUACACAUUCCACAAAUGUGACAUGGAAUUCGUAUAAUAAUAAAGACGAAUACAACAUAUAUUCGGGUGGUUAUUUUGAGCCGGGUACUGCCCGUUUAUAUUUGGCGCCCAACGUGUUUUGCGGACCCGAGAGGAAGAUGGCGGCCCGUGGAAAGCGGAGAAGUCGUGGAAGGGUCGUUGAGGACUGAGCGUACGUAGGAAGAGUCUUAUUGGACGGGUCGUUGAGGACGUAUCGGAAGUGGGAGUCGUUUAAUCGUGUAUUUAGAACAUUUCCGAGGAUUUAUAGUGCAAUAUCGUGUACCUACCGUGUGGACAAUUGUGAAGUGGACAUCUUUAAAUAUUUAUCGUGUAUCAUAUUCAGACUUUUAAUCCUGACUUUAAUUCAGAUUUUUAAUCCUGACUUUAAUUCAGACUUUUAAUCAUUUGUGGCCUAUAUUCAGCAUAUGUGUAUUCUUCACCUUUCUUCGUAACCGUGAGUAUAUGUAUGUGAGUGAGAGAGAGAAUAUAUUAUUUGUUUACCUAAUAUAAUUGAUUGCUCUAAUUACUUGGUGACGGUUACAUCUUUAUAAGAUCUAUUCUUCAUCCUUUAUCAACAGUUACUAAAAACAUUGAAAUGCUGCUAUUUUGAAUUUAUUCAUAAAGUGAUUAUAAAUUCAUUAAUUUUGUAACCAACUCAUUGCUAUCCCUUUAACCUCUUUAUUCUAUAAAUUCUCAUAUAAUCCCUUUCCCAGUGUCCAUACCUUUAUCCAGCCCUUUUACAUUUUGGCCUUAAUUCUAUUUAGUCCAUUGUAUUCCAUUUUAUUACUGUGUGAGUGUUUGUUUUGAUUUGCUGCAUUCCUGAGUUUAUGCAUUGCUAACAGUACAUCAGGUUACACUUGUUCACCUUGAUUAUACAUGAUUUGGUUUUGAUUGGAUAUAGAAUUCCCUAAUUUGCAUACUGAGUUUGGAUAUCAUCGCUUCCUUGGUUUUCAUUGGUUGACACAUGACUGAAUUUUUUUCACUGACAGACCAUGUGACUACUAUUUUACCUUAUAUGGAAGUUGUAGUAGAGUAGUAAUUCUCAACACAGUGUAGUAGUACAUGUACAUGUAGGUAAGGUCUGUUUUGGACAGAUGUCUCCCGUGUGAGCUGAUAUCAGGUAAAUCUGUUUACACAUUUGUGGUCGGCUUCUUUGGUUGUUAUUUUAGUUAAUUUGAUUUGUCUCAGGGCAUUGCAUUUUUAUUUUGGCGUUUAAUAUUUCUGAAGUUAAUACUUAUAACACAGUGUAGGUUGAG